rnacentral:rRNA from 1 species
UAGGGAAUCUUGCAAAAUGGGCGAAAGCCCGAUGCAGCAACGCCGCGUGGGCGAUGAAGGCCUUCGGGUCGUAAAGCCCUUUUUGAGGGGAUGAGGAAGGACAGUACCCUCAGAAUAAGCCUCGGCUAACUACGUGCCAGCAGCCGCGGUAAAACGUAGGAGGCGAGCGUUAUCCGGAUUUACUGGGCGUAAAGCGCGUGCAGGCGGAUUGGAGAGUUGGAUGUGAAAGCUCCCGGCUUAACUGGGAGAGGUCGUUCAAUACUUCCAGUCUUGAGUGCAGUAGAGGGAAGUGGAAUUCCGGGUGUAGUGGUGAAAUGCGUAGAUAUCCGGAGGAACACCAGUGGCGAAAGCGGCUUCCUGGACUGUAACUGACGCUCAGAUGCGAAAGCUAGGGUAGCAAACG